rnacentral:rRNA from 1 species
CCUACGGGUGGCAGCAGUAGGGAAUAUUGCUCAAUGGGGGAAACCCUGAAGCAGCAACGCCGCGUGGAGGAUGACGGUUUUCGGAUUGUAAACUCCUUUCGUUAGAGAAGAUAAUGACGGUAGUUAACGAAUAAGCACCGGCUAACACCUAGCCAGCAGCCGCGGUAAUACGGCGGGUGCAAGCGUUACUCGGAAUCACUGGGCGUAAAGAGCGAGUAGGCGGGAUAGCAAGUCAGAUGUGAAAUCCUAAGGCUUAACCAUAGAACUGCAUUUGAAACUGUUAUGCUAGAGUAUAGGAGAGGUAAGUGGAAUUCUUGGUGUAGGGGUAAAAUCCGUAGAGAUCAAGAGGAAUACUCAUUGCGAAGGCGACCUGCUAGAACAUAACUGACGCUGAUGCGCGAAAGCGUGGGGAGCAAACAGGAUUAGAUACCCCGGUAGUC